rnacentral:tRNA from 1 species
GGGGAUAUAGCUCAGUGGUGGAGCACUUCCCUAGAGUGCAUGAGGCCCUGGGUUUGAUCCCCAGUACUGCCC